CAAACCCAACCGACGAUGAGUUCACCAAACCCACUUUCUGGUUUAGCUCUACUGAGCUAGCGCCAGAGAUUGCGUAGCUGCAGGAAGGGGAUUAGGAUGAUGAUGACGUGGAAGUGUGAAUGUAAUAACGGGAUUGUGGUUGGUGAGUGUGGAUAAGCUUCACUUUAGUCCCCACCUCUCAGCUCCAAACUCAGUUUUAUCAUGUUUCCCUAGUAACGAAUCGGAUCAAGCCCAAAAUGGCCGGAGCCUGAUCAGGAGGAUUAGCCUUGUCAUAAGCAGCUAUGAGGCUGGACGCUACUUCAUGAAGCUUGUCUUCCACGGCAGGCUUAGCUUCAGGGCUGCAUCAGAUGUAACUCAAAAUCACCACAAGCUCAGAGCUCAAAACUCAAGGCAAUGUAGGAUAUGUUACCUAGCCAAUGUAGCUUGUAAAGGAUAUGAAAGCAAAUCCAAC